GGGGUACCUAACUUCCGAAGCUCGCCGUUCGGGAUACCUCAGCUCCAAUAAACUCGGCGGGCGGGCGGUGGAGGGCGAGUGAAGACGAGGUGCUUGCCUCGCUCGGCUCACACCCCUUUUCGUCUCUUCUCUGCCUUUCCUCCGCAAUCACAGAGCGCAAGAGGAGAGAGAGAGAGAGUGAGGGGGGAGAGAGAGGGCUAGGGUUUUGUGCCCCCCACGCCUCACGCAUCGAAUCCGAGCCGGGUCGGGGUUGCUGCGAAUCGCCGGCGGUGCUUGAUGAUUCAGGCCUGUGUGGGCUGUGAUUCCAUUGCAAUGGCAUCUGAAACUGAUGAGAAAGCUAAGAUGGAGAGUUUGACAUCUGCUGCAGCCUUUGUGGAGGGUGGCAUUCAGGAUGCAUGCAACAUUUGCCUUGAGGCCUUCUGUGAGAGUGACCCUUCUGCAGAUCAACCAAAAUGGAUGGAUCAACACAUGAGUCACCAAAAUCCACCACCCAACCCAAUCGGUAUCCAAUCAAAUACUGUAGACUUAGAUGCUGAAGACUCUGUUCCAUCAAGCUUUACUUCGAAGAGGCCGCUAGGUCAUGAUUCGUCCAAGGAAAAGGCAAAGAAGCAAAGGUCUGUUGACACAUCGUCCACUUUUUCUGAGUACCUCAGGUGGAUGGGUGAAAUAUCUUUGGAACGGUUGUCUGUGUUCAAAUUAGUAGCUUCAAUUGAGGAGAGGAAGUUGGAGUCUAUGAACAAAAACGAGAGGCAAAAACUCAUCUUGGAGAGGAAGAAGCUAAACCUGGAGAAACUUAGGAUGGAUCGGCAGAAAUUGAAGGAGGACAAGGAAGAGGAGGUCAUGAUAUUGGGCAUGGAUCUGAGUAAAUGUAACCCCCUACUUCGACAAUGCUACGAGGCUAAGCAACAGGAGAUAUUGGCAAGGGUUAUUGGAAACUCGUCGUCAAGCAAGUGAGGAGUGAACGAAGUUAAUUUUUGUUAGUGGUUGAGAUGCUGUCGUUUCUUCUGGAAAUAGCACUACUGUAUCUAGUCCUAGGUUUUUUUUAACAGGUAGUUCCCCAGCUUCGUCCUCAUCUUAGAGCCUCGGAUGGAUCAAACUAAAACUAACAGGUGGAGCAGAAGUGCAGUAACACGAUGCUCCAGUUCCAAGUUGACAACCUGGCGGUAGAGCAGAAGUGCAGUAACACGAUGCUGCCAUUUUUAUCUCAAGCACUGCAUAAACUGCAUGCGUGUGGCUUAGGGGAAGUCCGAUCUCAAAAAAUCUUCUGUUUAGGGCAUGUACUAAACAUGUACAGUGGUGUUUAAUGUGGAGGCUCCUAAGGUGUUUAAGGGGUGUAUUUGCAAAAAAAAUUAGAGCCGUCUCUCCGUGAAGAGACGCCUCUGGCUCGUAAACCAAGUAGUAACAGACGUCUCACUUCCUAUUGUACGAAUUUGUCGUCUGUUCUAUCGAUCUGCUGCUGUACAAAUGCAUUUAAUUCUGUAUUUAUUAAUAGACUACA